CACGUAGGAUCCAAGCGUUAUCCGGAUUUACUGGGCGUAAAGCGCGUGUAGGUGGUUUGUUAAGUUGGGUGUUAAAUCUCUCGGCUCAACUGAGAGAUGUCGCUCAAAACUAGCAGACUGGAGGACGGUAGAGGAGGGUGGAAUUCCGGGUGUAGUGGUGAAAUGCGUAGAUAUCCGGAGGAACACCAGUGGCGAAGGCGGCCUUCUGGACCGCUCCUGACACUCAAACGCGAAAGCUAGGGGAGCAAACGGG
rnacentral:rRNA from 1 species